rnacentral:misc_RNA from 1 species
UUGGGUUUCUCUCAAUUUUUGUUAGGUUCGGUUAUUAUUUUAAAGUUGUUUAAAAUUUCGGUUAGUCAAAAUUUUAGUUCGGUUAAUCAAAUGCACACCCCCUACUUAUAGGUUAUUUUUGUGCUUUGUUCAUUAGUGCUUUGGUAUUCUAGGGUUUUAACCAUAGCUUUAUACCUCUUAUGUGAUUGAGGCUAAAGUGGAUUGCCUGACAAUUUGCUAUUGCAACAGCUAAAAGAAACUCUGAUUUUAGACAUAGCUAGAAGGAAGAGAAAUAUCUCCUUAGUUAAUUCCAAUUAGGUCGAUACUAACACUUUUAAAUUGAG